rfam:Flavobacteria bacterium GWF1_32_7 gwf1_scaffold_5, whole genome shotgun sequence.
UUCGCGUUAGGGAUUGUAGUGGAAAUCCUUUAUUUGUAAAAUUGCCAAAUUUUAUAAAUAAAGAUUGUAACGGAAAGCCCGACCCUUG